GCUAAGUGGGCGUGGUUAAUUGUACGACCUUCCCAACAAAGAGGGGCGGGGCUGUCUCAGCCUCCCACUAUAAUUAUGUGACCCUCAAUCUAAUGAUAAUUUGGCUAGAUCAGUCCAACUAUCUACUAUUAUGUCUGCCCUAGCUGCUCAACAGCUAACUUGUAUCUCCAGUGAACUCUUAUUUUUAGCGUGAUAAAAGUGUGUACCACCAGUUUAGGGUUAGGCCAUGCAUUUAUUGUAUGGCUAUUGAAUGGAUGCAUCCAUGGCUAUGUGUUAUUUUAGUAGUGGCUUUGUCUAGGAAUGUUACAACGUUUGUUAAAUUUUUGAUUUUUGUACUGAUAGCAGAGUGUGAUUACAUUCCCUUGUUAUUUUCUCUCCACUAUAAUACGCACACUUCCCGCCACUAUAUGUAGACGUGACAACUGCAGGACCCAGCCCCACACCCUCACAGCUCCUCCUGGAGGAGAAGGAGAAGACAGUAGCUCUUGGAGCCAAAUUAGAACUCAUGGAGAAACAUUUAAGAGAGAGAGAGGAGAGAGAGAAGCAGAGGGAGCGGGGAUACAUAGAAAGAGAACUAAAAUUUGACAGGGAGAGGGAAGUAAUGAGAGAUGUGAAGAAGAGAGAGGAGGAAGUGGAGAGAAGGGAGAGGGAGGUGGUGAAGAGAGAGAGAGAGGUGAAGAAGAGGGAGG